rnacentral:rRNA from 1 species
GCUUACGGCCACACCACCCUGAGAACGCCCGAUCUCGUCUGAUCUCGGAAGCUAAGCAGGGUCGGGCCUGGUUAGUACUUGGAUGGGAGACCGCCUGGGAAUACCAGGUGCUGUAAGCUUUU